rnacentral:rRNA from 1 species
GGGGCUGGAGCAGGUCCCAAGGGUAUGGCUGUUCGCCAUUUAAAGUGGUACGUGAGCUGGGUUUAGAACGUCGUGAGACAGUUCGGUCCCUAUCUGCCGUGGGUGUAGGAAACUUGAGAGGAUUUGUCCCUAGUACGAGAGGACCGGGAUGAACGUACCUAUGGUGUACCAGUUGUUUCGCCAGAAGCAUCGCUGGGUAGCUAUGUACGGACGGGAUAACCGCUGAAUGCAUCUAAGCGGGAAACCCACCUCAAAACUAGGUUUCCCUUGAGAACCGUGGAAGACCACCACGUUGAUAGGCCAGGUGUGGAAGCGCAGUGAUGUGUGAAGCUAACUGGUACUAAUUGUUCGAUCGGCUUGAGAG